CGCAUCACCAUGAUCACCCCAUCCUACCAUGCCCACGACAACUCUCGUCUGAUCUGCCCAGGUAUUCCUGUUAUUGUGGACACAUGAAGUCAAGAUAAAGGAGAAUAUAGAACAUUUUAUAUCUGCUAAAUGGAGACUUGAGAAGACUUGGAACUACAUGUAUAGGGAUGGAGCUGACAGAUGCUCUAAAGGCCAGUCUAUAAUAUGGUGUACCACUGCAGCCCUCUCAUGCGGUGUCCUAACUUAUGGAUCAUCCGCUAUCAUUAAGUGAGCCAGAACAUCAUAUCAGCAAUGAGCGAGUAGCCCAUUUGAACCAAUAUUUUGUUCCAUAAAGGACAAUCACGAAACAGGCAGACAAAACUACAGGUUUGAAAAUAAAUGGAAGAAAAUCACUGGACACAGUAUAAUUUCCUAUCCCAGUAUUGCUGAAACUGUGGCAUUGUCAACAAACUCCA